GGCGCCGUGGCUUAGUGGUAAAGCGCCUGUCUAGUAAACAGGAGUUCGGUGGUUUGAUCCCGUCCGGUGCCU
rnacentral:tRNA from 1 species